CGGGUGAGUAACACGUGAGUAACCUGCCCUUGACUCUGGGAUAAGCGUUGGAAACGACGUCUAAUACCGGAUACGAACCGCGAAGGCAUCUUCAGUGGUUGGAAAGAAUUUUGGUCAAGGAUGGACUCGCGGCCUAUCAGGUAGUUGGUGAGGUAAUGGCUCACCAAGCCUACGACGGGUAGCCGGCCUGAGAGGGUGACCGGCCACACUGGGACUGAGACACGGCCCAGACUCCUACGGGAGGCAGCAGUGGGGAAUAUUGCACAAUGGGCGAAAGCCUGAUGCAGCAACGCCGCGUGAGGGACGACGGCCUUCGGGUUGUAAACCUCUUUUAGCAGGGAAGAAGCGAAAGUGACGGUACCUGCAGAAAAAGCACCGGCUAACUACGUGCCAGCAGCCGCGGUAAUACGUAGGGUGCAAGCGUUGUCCGGAAUUAUUGGGCGUAAAGAGCUCGUAGGCGGUUUGUCGCGUCUGCUGUGAAAAACUGGAGGCUCAACCUCCAGCCUGCAGUGGGGUACGGGCAGACUAGAGUGCGGUAGGGGAGAUUGGAAUUCCUGGUGUAGCGGUGGAUGCGCAGAUAUCAUGAGGAACACCGAUGGCGAAGGCAGAUCUCUGGGCCGUAACUGACGCUGAGGAGCGAAAGGGUGGGGAGCAAACAGCUUAGAUACCUGG
rnacentral:rRNA from 1 species